AACGAACGCUGGCGGCAGGCUUAACACAUGCAAGUCGAACGCAUCCUUCGGGGUGAGUGGCAGACGGGUGAGUAACGCGUGGGAACGUGCCCUUCAGUUCGGGAUAACCCAGGGAAACUUGGGCUAAUACCGGAUACGUGCGAGAGCAGAAAGAUUUAUCGCUGAAGGAUCGGCCCGCGUCUGAUUAGCUAGUUGGUGGGGUAAUGGCCCACCAAGGCGACGAUCAGUAGCUGGUCUGAGAGGAGGAUCAGCCACAUUGGGACUGAGACACGGCCCAAACUCCUACGGGAGGCAGCAGUGGGGAAUAUUGGACAAUGGGCGCAAGCCUGAUCCAGCCAUGCCGCGUGAGUGAUGAAGGCCUUAGGGUUGUAAAGCUCUUUCGUCCGGGACGAUAAUGACGGUACCGGAAGAAGAAGCCCCGGCUAACUUCGUGCCAGCCGCCGCGGUAAGAC
rnacentral:rRNA from 1 species